CGAAGACCGCGACGUCUGGCCUGGACACACUUGACGUGUCGCCGUGCCAGACGUCACGUUCUUCAGA
rnacentral:pre_miRNA from 1 species